rnacentral:rRNA from 1 species
AGUGAACGCUGGCGGUAGGCCUAACACAUGCAAGUCGAACGGCAGCACAGUAAGAGCUUGCUCUUACGGGUGGCGAGUGGCGGACGGGUGAUGAAUACAUCGGAAUCUACUUUUUCGUGGGGGAUAACGUAGGGACACUUACGCUAAUACCGCAUACGACCUACGGGUGAAAUCAUGGGAUCUUCGGACCUUGCGCGAUUGAAUGAGCCGAUGUCGGAUUAGCUAGUUGGCGGGGUAAAGGCCCACCAAGGCGACGAUCCGUAGCUGGUCUGAGAGGAUGAUCAGCCACACUGGAACUGAGACACGGUCCAGACUCCUACGGGAGGCAGCAGUGGGGAAUAUUGGACAAUGGGCGCAAGCCUGAUCCAGCCAUACCGCGUGGGUGAAGAAGGCCUUCGGGUUGUAAAGCCCUUUUGUUGGGAAAGAAAAGCAGCAGGUUAAUACCCCGCUGUUCUGACGGUACCAAAAGAAUAAGCACCGGCUAACUUCGUG